GGCAGGUCGGAAAGUAGUGUGUUAUCUCAAUUGACUGUUCACAGUCAGUCAUAGAUAGAACUUCGUGGUUCUACUCUUUCCCCCUUUCUCACUAUUGCACUUGACUUGUCUAAA
rnacentral:Y_RNA from 1 species